GACGAACGCUGGCGGCGUGCCUAAUACAUGCAAGUCGAGCGGACCGACGGGAGCUUGCUCCCUUAGGUCAGCGGCGGACGGGUGAGUAACACGUGGGUAACCUGCCUGUAAGACUGGGAUAACUCCGGGAAACCGGGGCUAAUACCGGAUGCUUGAUUGAACCGCAUGGUUCAAUCAUAAAAGGUGGCUUUUAGCUACCACUUGCAGAUGGACCCGCGGCGCAUUAGCUAGUUGGUGAGGUAACGGCUCACCAAGGCGACGAUGCGUAGCCGACCUGAGAGGGUGAUCGGCCACACUGGGACUGGGACACGGCCCAGACUCCUACGGGAGGCAGCAGUAGGGAAUCUUCCGCAAUGGACGAAAGUCUGACGGAGCAACGCCGCGUGAGUGAUGAAGGUUUUCGGAUCGUAAAACUCUGUUGUUAGGGAAGAACAAGUACCGUUCGAAUAGGGCGGUACCUUGACGGUACCUAACCAGAAAGCCACGGCUAACUACGUGCCAGCAGCCGCGGUAAUACGUAGGUGGCAAGCGUUGUCCGGAAUUAUUGGGCGUAAAGCGCGCGCAGGCGGUUUCUUAAGUCUGAUGUGAAAGCCCCCGGCUCAACCGGGGAGGGUCAUUGGAAACUGGGGAACUUGAGUGCAGAAGAGGAGAGUGGAAUUCCACGUGUAGCGGUGAAAUGCGUAGAGAUGUGGAGGAACACCAGUGGCGAAGGCGACUCUCUGGUCUGUAACUGACGCUGAGGCGCGAAAGCGUGGGG
rnacentral:rRNA from 1 species